AGAGGUCAGUAUGGGCUACUAUGUCAGCACAGCAAGGAUACUGGAGCAGGAUUUCCUGAGAAGGAGCUGUUUAAGCUGGAUCAUUACUUGAGUUCCAUAUUACUAAACAAGGAAGUCAUGAAGUCCAAGCAAUAAUGGAGGAACGCUGGCACCCCCAGAGGGAAAGGACAACAUCCUACAGCAGAGACCUGCAAACAGGGCUUGGAAUGCUACUCUGAUCCAGCUCCUUCAUGAUAAGUCUAUCUCUCUGGAUCUUGCUUUCUUUAUUGUUUCUGCCUUUGGUGGACCCUAAAAUUUACACGAUGAGACAAAGCCCAACAGCAAGAAGGCGCAAGUUCCCUGCAGGAAGCACAUCCCAUGCCUGCCUGCUCAUCCCCUGGGGCUUUCACUGGGAUGCAGACUCUCCUGCUGCAAAUGGGAGCCUUGGCCUGACCCAGACUUCCGGGACUAAUGGACCAGCUGAAGAAACCAAGAUUCAGUGUCAGGCAGCCCAUUUGCCUAAAGGUGUAAGCUAUAUUCUCCAAUAACAGCUUCCUGUGAAUCUCAGUGCUGACUUGAUUUGCCAUCUGCCUUACCCCUUCAUCUUGUAUCUUGGUUGGCUCAGAUCUUGAGUGAGGAAGAGGAGAGUUAUCCAUUGGACCUUUUAAAACACCAACUUUGUCUUACAAUAAUUUCUUAUUUA